AAUAUUUUAGGUAUUAUUUGAUCGAAGGUAAUUUUUCUACUCAUUUACAUCAUUCUUCUAUACUAAAUUCUAGUUUGCUUUAAGUACAUCAUAGUAUAGGAUUUCCAAGUAAACUAAAAACUAAGGAAAUUUGUUGAUUUUGUCCAGUCCAGCUUGCCAUCUCCUGCAAUUUUCUGCCUCGGAUAAGAAUUGAUAAGGCUAUUUCUCUGCACAGUUGAGUUAAUGAAGGCACAUGCUGUAAUACAAUUAAGUGCCACUCUACUUUUGGCCUUGCUACACACCCACAACAAUUCUGUUUCCCAGUCCCCCACUGUCCUAUGAUGUCCCAGCCAGAAACACAAUCUGUUCCACAAGCUCUUAGUAACUGGGCAGUCAAAGAACAUGUGGCUAAAUGUCUCAAUGCUAUGAUCACAGAAUACACAAUUUCCAGGAAUUUGGAUUCCAAUCUUCUGUAGUCUGUCAACUUCAGACAGCCUUCUUUGGGCAGCUAACCAUACUGUAAAUCUAUACCUUGGUUGAGCUUGAGCAAGUAAAACCAGAUUCUUCCAAGCAACCUUGCUGUAAGCAGUAGUCAAUGCCAGGUAUAAUUUCUGAAUAAGGAACUGAUCCAGUCUGCAGAAGCCUUGCAAUCUACUGAAGAGGCUACCUUGAAUUAGUUGAGAUCCCAUUAGGUCAUCCCUUCUGUCCAGUAUCUUCCUUACCACCCAAGCUGUCUUGGGUAAGGGCAUUGUUUCUAAGUCCCUCUGCUUGAUGUAGUAGCU
rnacentral:lncRNA from 1 species